rnacentral:lncRNA from 1 species
CUUGAAAUGGGCUGAGUCCCUCUUGCUCACCCUUGACUUGGAAAAACCAGUUUCUCUUUUAUUGUCUGUUGCUAAUCUCUAUUCUAAAAAUUCAGCUCAAUUCUCAACCAUACUCCAAACUCUCUCCUUUCCAGCUGCCUUUACUCUCUCUCCUUCAAUUCCACUUUCCUCUGCUUUCAUUUUUUUUUUUUUUUCAGACAGGGUCUCACUUUGUCACCCAGGCAGGAGUGCAGCGGCUCAAUCUUGGGCUCACUGCAGUCUCAACCUCCCAGAGGCGGGGUUUCACCAUGUUGCCCAGACUGGUCUUGAACUCCUGAGCUUAAGCAAUCCACCUGCCUCGGCCUCCCAAAGUAUUGGGAUUACAGGUGUGAGCCACCGCAUCCGGCCUCAUGUUCUUUUUCAUUAAAGAGAGAAAUCAACUAUUCAGGACCGGCCCCCACCUUUCCUCAGGAGUCAUUUCUGUUCUGCACAGGCCUGCUGAACUGGGUGCUUUAUAUAGGGCACUGUCAUCUCUCAAGUACCCAUCGUGGAGGGUACGGACCCCACAUGAGGGUGAGGCUCUCUGCACACUCCAGAAAAGGACCAACCACCUCGAGCUCAGUUAUGGCACAAACAGUGGGACCUAGACAAAGGGAGAGGGUGACCAGCAUCCCAACUAGAUUUCAGUGGAGUGAAGUUCAGGAGGCAUGGAGCUGACGACCACGAGGCCUCGGCAGCCACCGCCGCUGCCGCCACCACCACCGCCGCCGCCGCCGCCGCCGCAGCAGCAAGAGUAACUCUGACUUAGGAAUAGAGACAGCCGGAGAGAAAUGUGAUCAAUGAAGGAGACAUGUGGAGUGUGCGUGCUUCUUCAGAGGGACUGGUGAUGGGCAGACUGGAAAAAGCACUGCAGAUGGGAACAUUAAUCUUUCUUUUCUAAAAUUGAUGCUAUGAAAAUUUGCGUUUUCUGUAACUUGUAAAAACUAAAAGUUGCUU